ACAACCGAUAUCCCUGAUUGGUUCUAUGUAGAGGCCUGUGGAACCAUUGCAAGAAAUCGGUUACAGGAAACACUUUCAGCAGAAGAUUUGUCUCUCUUCUAUAGCAAAUCUCCUAUCUCGCAUGUUUCAAAGGUCUUGCCUUUGAACCAAACAUUUUUUAGAUUGAAUUGCCAUGUUAUUACAAGCUCUCUUAAUGAUUGAAUUACCCUGAUUGGUGCUAAUGAUUAUGAUUACGAUGUAUCUUAUUUCAUGGAGUUGAUUUCUGGCAUUAUGUCUUUUCAUGAAUUCUGCAGGUAAAGGCACCAACACUGUUCCUUUUAGGUGCACAAGAUCGUCGCGUUCCAAUCUUUGAUGGACUGCAAUACGCUCGAGCUUUAAAAGAGAAAGGAGCAGAGGUCAAAAUCAUCAUGUUUCAAAAUGAUGUUCAUGCACUCAAAAGGCCACAAUCUGAAUGGGAAAGCAUCCUUAACAUUGG